rnacentral:rRNA from 1 species
GUGAGGAAUAUUGCGCAAUGGAGGCAACUCUGACGCAGCCAUGCCGCGUGCAGGAAGAAGGCGCUACGCGUUGUAAACUGCUUUUAACCGGGAAGAAACCCCAGGACGUGUCCUGGGUUGACGGUACCGGAGGAAUAAGCACCGGCUAACUUCGUGCCAGCAGCCGCGGUAAUACGAAGGGUGCAAGCGUUAUCCGGAUUCAUUGGGUUUAAAGGGUGCGUAGGCGGAGCGUUAAGUCAGUGGUGAAAUCCUGCAGCUUAACUGUAGACUUGCCAUUGAUACUGGCGCUCUUGAGUGCGCUUGAAGUGGGCGGAAUGUGCCGUGUAGCGGUGAAAUGCUUAGAUAUGGCACAGAACACCAAUUGCGAAGGCAGUUCACUAAGGCGAUACUGACGCUGAGGCACGAAAGCGUGGGGAUCGAACAGGAUUAGAAACCCUGGUAGUCC